rnacentral:rRNA from 1 species
CCUACGGGAGGCUGCAGUGAGGAAUAUUGGUCAAUGGGCGCGAGCCUGAACCAGCCAAGUAGCGUGAAGGAUGACUGCCCUACGGGUUGUAAACUUCUUUUAUAAAGGAAUAAAGUGAGGCACGUGUGCCUUUUUGUAUGUACUUUAUGCAUAAGGAUCGGCUAACUCCGGUCCAGCAGCCGCGGUAAUACGGAGGAUCCGAGCGUUAUCCGGAUUUAUUGGGUUGAAAGGGAGCGUAGAUGGGUUGUUAAGUCAGUUGUGAAAGUUUGCGGCUCAACCGUAAAAUUGCAAUUGAUACUGGCAGCCUUGAGUACAGUUGAGGUAGGCGGAAUUCGUGGUGUAGCGGUGAAAUGCUUAGAUAUCACGAAGAACUCCGAUUGCGAAGGCAGCUUACUAAACUGCCACUGACAUUGAUGCUCGAAAGUGUGGGUAUCAAAUAGGAUUAGAUACCCGGGUAGUC